CCCAGCCAAGAAUAUUCUGGCUCCAACAAAGCACAAAACAAACUUGAAGGUAUCCAAGAGGGAAAACACUGUGCAAUCCCCCACAAACGUCACCCCAACGCAGGAAGGACACAGUGACCCAGAAAAGGGAGCAGUAUGUCGCAGCUGGACUGCCGAAGAGACGCCCUGAUGCCCCCCAGCCACGGCCGGGAUUCCCCCAGGACUCUCAGCACCCAGGGGCACAGCUGUGCUGCUGCGUGGAGCAGCAGGUGGAGACCAGAAAGCCAGAAAGAGGUUGCAUGCCCGCAGCAGAAGAAGAAACCACGUUGGCUGGUAAAAAUGUGAGGUGACGGAAGUUAGCAGCUGUCAUCCCUGCCUGCUUCAGAGAAAAGAGGAGAAAGAAGAAAGAUAUAGCAAACCCCAACCUUGAGGAAAGCAGCCACCAGCUCCCGCAACUACGGGGCGUGUAGUCGGCUAACGAGGAUAGAGCCCUGCGCCGAACAGUGUGAACUGGGUACAGACCCGUGAACUAAUCCACGCUGGGGGCCUGUCCGAGGUUUUACAGACGAGCCUCUUGGAAAAGGUAGUGGCUAAAAAACCCAUGCCCAUGCCGGUGGAGAAGCAAGGGUAGGAACAUGCUUGGACUUGCCUCUGCAGGGUGGACGUGAGGCAUCUAAAAUACCAAAGUGCAACUGUGACGACAGUGGAAGUUUCAUGCUCUCGCAGUUCUAAGUGAUAAAUGUGCUCUAUCAGUUUUCAUCAUAAAGAUUCAGAAUAUGCAGAUACCCUCCAAGUUUGACAAGAGUGUCCUGCUAGCCUCAAAGGAGAGCAAGGCUAAUAAAUGUUGGUGACCAUAAGCCUCGCCAGCCCACAGCGGCCACCACCAGUCGCUUGUGUUUCCCUUCAGCCCCGCGAGAAAGGGAAGUGGCUUCGCUCCCGAAAAUGGGGGCCAAGUAGCUGCAAAGAGGGAGAUGCCACAGAAGCCGACUGGAGCCCCCGGGGCUGGAGGACACCCACGGCUUUCGGGCUGCUGGGCUGGGUGGUGCUGUGUCUCCUGGGAGCAGGCCCCGUGGAAGCCGGAGUGACCCAGACCCUGAGAUACCUCAUCACAGGGACCAGGAGGCAGUUGACACUGCUUUGUUCUCAGGAUAUGAACCGCGACGCUAUGUACUGGUACGGACAAGACCCAGGGCUGGGUCUAAAGCUGAUCUACUCUUCAAGGAACGUUCAGUUUACUGAAAAGGGAGAUGUCCCUGAUGGGUACUGGGUCUCUCGGAAAGAGAAGAGAAAUUCCCCCCUGGCCCCGACCCUGGAGUCGGCAGGCACCAACCACACCUCGCUGCACCUCUGCGCCAGCGGUUUAUCCACAGCGCUGCUCAGCCAGAUGCUCGCUGCACAGAAAGGGCACCUGGAGAACAAGGAGGCGCCUUCCUGGGGAGCCCCACCCCAACCACGAGGAGAACUCCCUCCACCAUCUGCCCCAUAGUUGUCCUUCCCGGGCUCCCCAGCUCCGCAGACGCUGUCAGGGCAGCUCCCCUGCAGGGUGCUGCUCUCCUGGGGCCUCUCACCACUAAGGUGCUUGUCCAAGUCGAGGUAGGACACGCUGGCCGCGGUAGGUCUACUGCCAGGGGCAAGGGACUCUCUUCCUAGAACAGGAUAGAACAGGAUUGCACACAGUGAUCCUGUCUCCCUACUACUACUACUAUCACCCCCAGUACUCCUUACUGGGCUUCACUGUUGCCCAAACCAAACGCCGCAUUUUCAGUCCAGUCACUCAACAAAACCUUGUCCCAUAUUCCACGUCCUAUUCCCGGUUGCUUGCCCCGGGGGGAAGAGCACGCUCUGAGUUAUUCACAAAAUCUGACGUCCCUCUUUCUUCCACAUCUCAGCAAAUGGUCCCGCCCUCUGGCCAAAUGUCCAAGCCAGGAACGGAGGGGUCAUCCCCACCAUCUCUCAGAGACACCUAGUCCCGCAUCUCCUACCCUGCGUACGUGCAGAUGUUACAUCCCUUGCAAUUUUUACUAAUGUUUCUAACUUCAGUGACAACGCUGUGGCCCAGCCAACGUCUCUCACCUGGAUUCCUUAACCGCCUUCCACGUAGUCGCCCCCACUGCCAGUAUAAAGUAUAAGCUCAAGACUUUACAAGCUCCUCCUUGACGAGGUCUUUGUGUACCUACCUGCCUUCUUGACGUGAAUGUCCUCUUUCCCUCAGUGACCACAACUACCACGUAUGCCCUCUGCUGACUCACUGCUGGGUGUUCACCACCAAGGUUCACUCUCCCUAGAGCGCCCUUCCUCUCCCUACCUACCCGGUCACCUGACCGAUCGCUCCUCUGGAUGCUAAUUCGGAAGUCACAUCCUCCUCCAGAAAGAUUUCCUUGAAUCCCUGGCUGGGUCAUUUCCUCUGCUCUGUGCUCUUAUGACAGCCUGAACUUCUAUCCUGAUGGCAGUCAACACACUCAACUGUUUAUUGUUUAACAUUUACAGUCAUAAAUAUCCAGGUUAAAGAGAAUAAGGAUCAUGCCUCUAUUGCUUAUCUCCGUACUUACCAGAGUCCCUGAAGGCAGUAGUAGUGUUAAAUGAAUGAGUGAAUCAGUCUUGUCUCAAGAUCCUCUUUCCAACACCCCUCUGACUAGUCCAGUAUCUAGGUGCCCCGCGAAGUCCUCUCCUACACAUAGUCUGGGGAGAUUCCAGGGUUUUUCAUAUGUGUAUCCAAGCAAGUCAGAUCGUGUGCUCUAACAGAGAUCUAUUCUUCUACUCCAGCCCCUGAGCUCUAUGUCCCCCUGAUGACGAAGUUGCCUCCCUGGGUACCACUGUUCCCAUGGGAUCUUUUUCUUUUUCGGGUGGGCCCUAAAAUACCUGCCAGCCACUGCUGAUGCUUCAGCUCUGUACCAUUUCAUUUGCCAUGCAGCACAAUACAGCAGACUUCAUCAUUGCUGCCCACAGGCUCCAACAUCCCUCCCAGGUAGAGCCUCCUGCAGAGUGGCACCUCUAUUAAUGAAGCACAAGAAGAAAAAUUUGCUCAAGCUUUUCCUUUUCUUUCUUUGGGUUGGAAGGGCAAAACUACAGCUCCUCAUCUUGAUCCCAAAUAUCUUAUCCAGACUUUGGCAUGAAGGCUCACUCAAUUACAUACAUUCCUCACUAACCACCAAAAUAGUCGUUAUAUCCUGGGAUAAGGAAAUGCAGAGAACCUCAUCCAGGAUGCAAAAUCCAGCAGGAAACCCAGCUGAACUCCAAAUCCACUCAUCCCUCCAAGAACUGGCUGUAUUACUAGGUCUUCCACCCCGUAGGCCCCUUGCCCUAAUCUUAGGAUGAGCUCCCUCUAGGAGGCACCUUAUGUUGUUACACACAGGGGCUUCCAGUGGACGUAUCUCUCCUUUUUGAAAGAUUGGCUCAGAUAUUUCUGAACUACAAAAAUUGUUGCUUCUCACGUCUAAGUUGAGUUUCCAUUACUACUUUUAUCACAUCCUCAAUAUAAAUAGAAUUAUACUAAUUAAAUCGGAGAUGGAAGUGGAAAUUAUAAACUCAAAGAUUGUUCCCCCUGGAAUGGGGAUCUACCAUCUAAUGACUUAGUCUUAUUUCCUGGAAGUCAUCUUGGGUGACCCUGUAUCCCAUGGGAGCCCAUGGGACCGUGAUGUAGACAGACGCCUUCCUACUUCUGUAGGAUCCCACACACCUAGAGCCCUCUGUCAAGGACCUAGAGAUGAUAGCUACAAUGCCCUGAUUCUUAACAUGGACCUGCUUUAGGCACCAGGUUACCCUGCUCGUUACUCUUAUUUCCCAGGACCAGCAGGGCUCAGGUUCACAGAGUUCUGAAGAGGCAUGUAUCCUCAGCUACUUUAUGGGAUCUACUCUUGAUUACUCACACCUCAACCAAACUCACUCAUGCUAAAGAAAUACCUACAAGAUUUAGUGAAUUUUCAGAUUUGGACACUAGUCACAGUUUUUUUUUAAGUAUUAAUUUUUGGUUCACCCAUUGUCAAUGUCCUUGGUACCCUACUCUUUCUAUAUAUACUCUUCCCUUACAAGUGGGCUCACGAGGUAUUGUUUCACUAACACCAGAGCUAAUGCAGACACCCCACCAUGAACUCACCUGCUGUGACAUCCUCCUUGGGAUAGGUAGUUCAUGGGCACAGGUCUAUGUUCUUGAACUUGGUUUCUCGACCUCUGCAUUAAGGCUUUGUCUGGUGGUUUAUACACUGGCAUCCCUCUGAAGCUCUUUCCCUUGACUUACCAUCUCACUUUAUCCACCAGUGUCCAUGGAUGCUAGUGUCGCUGAAAUCUCAGUGUCGGCAAAAAGGGUGACUGUGUUGUGGCCAAAACAUGUACCAUGACCAGUAUGUGCUGAUUCAGACAAGAGCCAAGAAUGAGGCUACAGUUACUGUUUUACUCAAUGCCAAGAACCCCGACAGAUGAGAAGUCCCUAAGAGAUAUGGUGUGUUUUUAAAUAAGCCUAAGCAUUCCUCCCAGCCUUCAGACGUCCAGCCUUUUUCAGACACUUCUGCCAGCAGUGAACCCACAGCGCUGCACGGCCACUUCCUCUCUGCACUGAAAGGGUUGUCACAGGGGGGAAGGUGGCACCCACAGGAGACAGUGGUAGGGACAGCACCUAUGAAUGAGAUGCCAGAGUCCUCACUUCCCUUCGGGACUUGCAUGGGGCUUGCGCAGCCCAGGCCACCUAAGAGAACUCACCUGGUACCAGUUCAGCUUCCCUGGCACCACCUGCAAGAGGGAGCGUCGUUCCACCCAGAUGCACUGAUCUUCGGGGACUGUCUCCAGGGCCAUGGGCCACCAGCCCUGGGCAGUGCCCUGUUCCCCAUCACCCACGUUCCAUCUAACACUUGCACUCCACCUCUAGACAAAUUGCCUUCCUAAUUUCAGGUGUUGGCUUCUGGAUUUCAUUACUCUGGGGCUCAACUUCUUAUUCAGCAUUAUUUUCAUGUCGGCUGUCACUGGCUCUGAUCAUGCUGUCAUUUGCUCUGCCAAGCCCACCCAGCAAACUCAUUCUUACUCUCCCGAUCUCAUGAUUGCUUCGCAUGUUCCCCAGAAUGUCUCUGGUCAUUUCCCGAACACACACCCUUUCUAUACAUCUCAGUUCAGGUCUGCAACAGCUUCACUGUGUCGUUGUUAUUGUUUGCUAUAAAUCUCCCUUUGGGGCCAUCUGUUCUUUGAUUUAGGGUAAUGUGUCCUCCCAUGUUUGCAUCACCAAACCAUCAUUAUGCCUGGUCCACUGGCUCUGGAAUGGAAUGAAUGCUCUGCGAGGCACGGAGCAUGUGUCCAUGGUCUGUGACUGUGUUCCCGGUGCCCAGCACAUAGCAAGUGUUCAAGAAAUAUCAAUGCAAGGAUUCUAAGAUGCCUUCAAGAAUUUUAAUCAGGAUUUGUCUUCCUUAUCUCUCUUUCCUAGCUAUGAGCCUUUUAAUAAGCAGCUUAAAUAACAAAGCUUAUGAAUAAAUUCUCUAAGAGACAAGCUCUUCACUUGGAUAAUGCUAUUAUUGAACACAGAGGCUACCAAUUUCUGCUCUAGACAUGCCCCAUUUCUGUUACACGCUCACCAUCACAGCUGCAGGGACAAACUUUUCCAGACACAGACUAAAAUCAGCUCCAGGCCCAGAGAGGAGCUGUGGUGACUGGGGAUGAGGGAGGUGAGUUCUCCUGGGGAGAGGCCCCUCAUGUGAACUGCCCACGUCACAGAGCUCAGAGCGGGCAAGCGGGCCCGCUGCCACCAGACUGCUCUUCGGAGGACAAGAAGAAGACUCUGACCAAGGGAUCCUGUAGAAGUAAGCUUCAAAAAAAUAAAAUAAUAAAAUAAAAUAAAUAAAAUAAAAUAAAAUAAAAUAAAAUAAAAUAAAAUAAAAUAAAAUAAAUAAAAAGAA